rnacentral:rRNA from 1 species
UACAAUGCUGGCAACAGCGAUAAGGGAACCUCGAGUGCCAGGUUACAAAUCUGGCUGUCGAGAUGCCUAAAAAGCAUUUCAUAGCAAGGGCCGGGCAAGACCGGUGCCAGCCGCCGCGGUAACACCGGCGGCUCGAGUGGUAACCGUUAUUAUUGGGUCUAAAGGGUCUGUAGCCGGCCGGAUAAGUCUCUUGAGAAAUCUGGCAGCUUAACUGUCAGGCUUUCAGGAGAUACUGUCUGGCUCGAGGCCGGGAGAGGUGAGAGGUACUUCAGGGGUAGGGGUGAAAUCUUGUAAUCCUUGAAGGACCACCAGUGGCGAAGGCGUCUCACCAGAACGGACCUGACGGCAAGGGACGAAAGCUAGGGGCACGAACCGGAUUAGAUACCCGGGUAGUCCUAGCCGUAAACGAUACUCGCUAGGUGUCGGCCACGGUGCGACCGUUGUCGGUGCCGUAGGGAAGCCGUGAAGCGAG